ACAAGCGGCGGAGCAUGCGGAUUAAUUCGAUGCAACGCGAAGAACCUACCAAGGCUUGACAUAUAGAGGAAACGUCUGGAAACAGUCGCCCCGCAAGGUCUCUAUACAGGUGGUGCAUGGUUGUCGUCAGCUCGUGUCGUGAGAUGUGGGUUAAGUCCCGCAACGAGCGCAACCCUCGUUCUAUGUUGCCAGCACGUAAUGGUGGGAACUCAUGGGAUACUGCCGGGGUCAACUCGGAGGAAGGUGGGGAUGACGUCAAAUCAUCAUGCCCCUUAUGUCUUGGGCUUCACGCAUGCUACAAUGGCCGGUACAAAGGGCUGCAAUACCGUAAGGUGGAGCGAAUCCCAAAAAGCCGGUCCCAGUUCGGAUUGAGGUCUGCAACUCGACCUCAUGAAGUCGGAGUCGCUAGUAAUCGCAGAUCAGCAACGCUGCGGUGAAUACGUUCCCGGGCCUU
rnacentral:rRNA from 1 species